UACGGAGGAUCCGAGCGUUAUCCGGAUUUAUUGGGUUUAAAGGGUGCGCAGGCGGGAGAUUAAGUCGGCGGUGAAAUUUUGCUGCUCAACUGUAAAAGUGCCUUCGAAACUGGUUUCCUUGAGUGUAGAUGAAGUAGGCGGAAUUUGUGGUGUAGCGGUGAAAUGCAUAGAUAUCACGAGGAACUCCGAUUGCGCAGGCAGCUUACUAAACUACUACUGUCGCUCAGGCACGAAGGCGUGGGGAUCAAACAGGAUUAGAUACCCCGGUAGU
rnacentral:rRNA from 1 species